rnacentral:tRNA from 1 species
GUGGGCGUGCCGGAGUGGUUAUCGGGCAUGACUAGAAAUCAUGUGGGCUGUUCGAAUCCUGCCGUUCACG